rnacentral:rRNA from 1 species
AGAUCGGAGAAAUGGAUGACUUUAAGAGCUGAUAAACUGAAGGAGGAGGUCCGUGUGUUGUUUAAGACUUGCAACAACAUGGUGGAAAUGAUCACCUUACUGGACAGCGUCCAACGUCUCGGAAUAGAUCACCACUUCAAAGAGCAGAUUGAUGUGGCGUUAAGUGACAUCCUCGAGAAUGAGUUAUGUAGCUCUAGCCUUCACGAAGUUGCUCUCAGGUUUCGUUUGCUUAGAGAACAUGGUCUUUGGGUAUCUCCAGAUGUUUUUAACGCAUUCAAGAAUGAAGAUGGGAGCUUUAGGGAAGAUAUUACCAAUGACCCAAGGGGACUUUUAAGUCUAUACAAUGCAGCUCAUCUUCUCAUUCAUGAUGAGCCAUCACUUCAAGAAGCCAUCUCUUUUGCAAGGCAUCACCUUGAAUUGAUGAGAGGCAGUCUCAAGUCCCCUUUAGCCGAGCAUGUUAAGCGUGCUUUUGACAUACCAUUUCCAAGGACCGUUAAGAGGGUAGAAACAAGGUAUUAUAUCUCAGAGUACAAACAUGAGGAAGGAAAUAGCCCAACUCUACUGGAGCUCGCGAAGCUAGAUUUUAACCUUCUACAACAUGUCCACUUGAAGGAACUCAAAUAUCUUACUAAGUGGUCGGAUGAUUUUUAUGGAUAUGUGGGGCUAAACUAUGUCUGUGACCGUCUGGUGGAGGGUUAUUUUGCACCAUAUGCAGUGUAUCAUGAGAAAAACUUCACCCUAUCAAGAAUAUUCUUUACCAAGCUAAUGGUGCUAAUGACCAUGAUAGAUGACACAUAUGAUUCCCAUGCUACCAUAGAGGAAAUUCGGCAGCUAAAUGCGGCCAUACAAAGAUGGGAUGAGAACGCAACUUCUCUUCUACCCGACUACUUGAAAAGGUUCUAUAAUGAACUCUUGAAGAUCUUUAAGGAUGCUGAAGAUGAAGCAUUCAUUGACACCUACCAUGUUGCCUAUGCUAGGAAAGCAUUUCAGAAAUUUUCUACUUAUCAUCUCCAAGAAGCCGAAUGGUCACACGAGAAUCACAAGGCAAGCUUUGAAGAUUUCCUGAAUUUAUCAUCCAUGUCCGUAGGUUUAGCGGGUCUGUCUGUAGUUUUGAUGGUUGGCAUGGGUGAUGAAGUAACUAAGGAAGCAUUUGAGUGGGCAACAAGUUUCCCUAAUAUCAUUAUAGCCGGCGGGAAGAUAUUGCGUCUAUUUGAUGACAUUGCUGCAUUUAAAGGUGAAAAGGGCAAGGCUGAUGUGGCAACCUGUUUGGAGUCUUACAUGGUCGAGCAUAGGGUCACAAGCAAGGUGGCCAUUGCCAGAAUCCAUUCACUGAUUGAAGAUGAAUGGAAAACAAUAAACGAAGCUCACUUUGAACAUGGGGCACCGCUCCCGGUGGUGAAGCGGAUUUUAAACUUGAUUAAUAGUGGGACCAUAUACUAUGGGGAUCAGAAAGAUGGAUUCACCUUUGGCAUGCAUCUUCAAAAGACUAUUGAGAGCCUCUUCGUCAACCCCAUUCCCAUGUAG